AGAGUUUGAUCCUGGCUCAGGAUGAACGCUAGCUACAGGCUUAACACAUGCAAGUCGAGGGGAAACGAUAUUGGAAGCUUGCUUCCGAUAGGCGUCGACCGGCGCACGGGUGAGUAACGCGUAUCCAACCUGCCCACCGCUUGGGGAUAACCUUGCGAAAGUAAGACUAAUACCCAAUGAUAUCUCUAGAAGACAUCUGAAAGAGAUUAAAGAUUUAUCGGUGAUGGAUGGGGAUGCGUCUGAUUAGCUUGUUGGCGGGGUAACGGCCCACCAAGGCAACGAUCAGUAGGGGUUCUGAGAGGAAGGUCCCCCACAUUGGAACUGAGACACGGUCCAAACUCCUACGGGAGGCAGCAGUGAGGAAUAUUGGUCAAUGGACGAGAGUCUGAACCAGCCAAGUAGCGUGCAGGAAGACGGCCCUAUGGGUUGUAAACUGCUUUUAUAAGGGAAUAAAGUGAGAGUCGUGACUCUUUUUGCAUGUACCUUAUGAAUAAGGACCGGCUAAUUCCGUGCCAGCAGCCGCGGUAAUACGGAAGGUCCGGGCGUUAUCCGGAUUUAUUGGGUUUAAAGGGAGCGUAGGCCGGAGAUUAAGCGUGUUGUGAAAUGUAGACGCUCAACGUCUGCACUGCAGCGCGAACUGGUUUCCUUGAGUACGCACAAAGUGGGCGGAAUUCGUGGUGUAGCGGUGAAAUGCUUAGAUAUCACGAAGAACUCCGAUUGCGAAGGCAGCUCACUGGAGCGCAACUGACGCUGAAGCUCGAAAGUGCGGGUAUCGAACAGGAUUAGAUACCCUGGUAGUCCGCACGGUAAACGAUGGAUGCCCGCUGUUGGUCUGAAUAGGUCAGCGGCCAAGCGAAAGCAUUAAGCAUCCCACCUGGGGAGUACGCCGGCAACGGUGAAACUCAAAGGAAUUGACGGGGGCCCGCGCAAGCGGUGGAGCAUGUGGUUUAAUUCGAAGCAACGCGAAGAACCUUACCUGGUCUUGACAUCCCGAUGGCCGCACUGUAAUGAGAGCUUUUCUUCGGAACAUUGGAGACAGGUGGUGCAUGGUUGUCGUCAGCUCGUGUCGUGAGAUGUUGGGUUAAGUCCCGCAACGAGCGCAACCCCUAUCUUCAGUAGCCAGCAUUUAAGGUGGGCACUCUGGAGAGACUGCCCGGGAUAACCGGGAGGAAGGCGGGGAUGACGUCAAAUCAUCAUGCCCCUUAUGACCAGGGCCACACACGUGCUACAAUGGCGUAACAAAGGGAAGCGAACCCGUGAGGGGGAGCAAAUCCCAAAAAUAACGUCCCAGUUCGGACUGUAGUCUGCAACCCGACUACACGAAGCUGGAAUCGCUAGUAAUCGCGAAUCAGAAUGUCGCGGUGAAUACGUUCCCGGGUCUUGUACACACCGCCCGUCACACCAUGGGAGUCGGAAAUGCCCGAAGUCAGUGACCUAACCGCAAGGAAGGAGCUGCCGAAGGUGGAGCCGGUAACUGGGGUGAAGUCGUAACAAGGUA
rnacentral:rRNA from 1 species